GACGAACGCUGGCGGCGUGCCUAAUACAUGCAAGUCGAACGCUGAAGGGGGAGCUUGCUCUUCUGGAUGAGUUGCGAACGGGUGAGUAACGCGUAGGUAACCUGCCUGGUAGCGGGGGAUAACUAUUGGAAACGAUAGCUAAUACCGCAUAACAGUAGAUGUUGCAUGACAUUUACUUAAAAGGUGCAAUUGCAUCACUACCAGAUGGACCUGCGUUGUAUUAGCUAGUUGGUGGGGUAACGGCUCACCAAGGCGACGAUACAUAGCCGACCUGAGAGGGUGAUCGGCCACACUGGGACUGAGACACGGCCCAGACUCCUACGGGAGGCAGCAGUAGGGAAUCUUCGGCAAUGGACGGAAGUCUGACCGAGCAACGCCGCGUGAGUGAAGAAGGUUUUCGGAUCGUAAAGCUCUGUUGUAAGAGAAGAACGAGUGUGAGAGUGGAAAGUUCACACUGUGACGGUAUCUUACCAGAAAGGGACGGCUAACUACGUG
rnacentral:rRNA from 1 species